AGUGAGAUAAGAAAAUGUGUUUUCUUUGUACUGAGGGAAAGAAGAUGUCACAUCCUCAUUGUUACAUCACAACUCCUGCUCAGAGUCACUAGGAGGAAUCACAACACUCAAGAUGGGUGCCCUGCUUGCCUUACUGUUCCCUUCUGUGGCUGUGGCUGCCUAACCUAGGUGAUGUGACUACUUAUCUCCAUCCAUCACACAGGGAGCCUUCAGUACACAACAGUGCUCGAUAAACUAUUCACAGGAGAAAAGGCAAGUUUGAGAUUUAAGUACAGAGGGGAUUAUUUUCCUAAGACUACAGAACAUCAAAGCUCACAAGUCAUAACCCAGUAAAGCUCCUGUGUUGAUCCCAGAGGUUCAGCCCAAGCAGAGAACCUAGACAAUGCACUACUUGAUACAACAUCCAAUGAAAUACAAGCUUUUGUUUUUUGUUUUUUGGAAGUAAUAUUUAAAAUCUUUUUUUUUUUUUUUUUUUUUCCUCUUUUUCCUUUUCCUGGAAAGAUCAUAUCUGUGUGCAGGUAGAAGAAAAAUCAUUUUUAGCAAAUCUACCUGUUGGGAAAUGUUGGGAGGAAAGUAAAACGUUCAAUGUCAUUCUGGAUCAACAACCUCUAGAAUUACUUGAACAGCCAUCUCUAAUAAUCACCUACUGAGCACUUUA